rnacentral:rRNA from 1 species
AACGAACGCUGGCGGCAGGCUUAACACAUGCAAGUCGAACGAGAUCUUCGGAUCUAGUGGCAGACGGGUGAGGAACACGUGGGAACAUCCCUUUCAGUUCGGAAUAACGUUGGGAAACUAACGCUAAUACCGGAUACGUCCUUCGGGAGAAAGAUUUAUCGCUGAAAGCUUUGCCCGGGUCUGAUUAGCUAGUUGGUGAGGUAAUGGCUCACCAAGGCUACGAUCAGUAGCUGAUGUGAGAGGAUGAUCAGCCACAUUGGGACUGAGACACGGCCCAAACUCCUGCGGAAGGCAGCAGUGGGGAAUAUUGGACAAUGGGCGCAAGCCUGAUCCAGCCAUGCCGCGUGAGUGAUGAAGGCCUUCGGGUUGUAAAGCUCUUUUAUCCGGGAAGAUAAUGACUGUACCGGAAGAAUAAGCCCCGGCAAACUUCGUGCCAGCAGCCGCCGUAA